rnacentral:rRNA from 1 species
UACAGAGGAUGCAAGCGUUAUCCGGAAUGAUUGGGCGUAAAGCGUCUGUAGGUGGCUUUUUAAGUCCGCCGUCAAAUCCCAGGGCUCAACUCUGGACAGGCGGUGGAAACUACCAAGCUGGAGUACGGUAGGGGCAGAGGGAAUUUCCGGUGGAGCGGUGAAAUGCGCAGAUAUCAGGAGGAACACCGAUGGCGAAGGCAGCUCACUGGGACGGUACUGACGCUGAGGCGCGAAAGCGUGGGGAGCAAACAGG